AUGGGCGCAAGCCUGAUGCAGCCAUGCCGCGUGUGUGAAGAAGGCCUUCGGGUUGUAACGCACUUUCAGUCGUGAGGAAGGUGGUGUAGUUAAUAGCUGCAUUACUUGACGUUAGCGACAGAAGAAGCACCGGCUAACUCCGUGCCAGCAGCCGCGGUAAUACGGAGGGUGCGAGCGUUAAUCGGAAUUACUGGGCGUAAAGCGCAUGCAGGUGGUUUGUUAAGUCAGAUGUGAAAGCCCGGGGCUCAACCUCGGAAUAGCAUUUGAAACUGGCAGACUAGAGUACUGUAGAGGGGGGUAGAAUUUCAGGUGUAGCGGUGAAAUGCGUAGAGAUCUGAAGGAAUACCGGUGGCGAAGGCGGCCCCCUGGACAGAUACUGACACUCAGAUGCGAAAGCGUGGGGAGCAAACAGGAUUAGAUACCCUGGUAGUCCACGCCGUAAACGAUGUCUACUUGGAGGUUGUGGCCUUGAGCCGUGGCUAUCGGAGCUAACGCGUUAAGUAGACCGCCUGG
rnacentral:rRNA from 1 species